rnacentral:rRNA from 1 species
UAGGGAAUCUUCCGCAAUGGGCGCAAGCCUGAUGGAGCAACACCGCGUGAGUGAAGAAGGGUUUCGGCUCGAAAGCUCUGUUGUUAAAGAAGAACACGUAUGAGAGUAACUGUUCAUACGUUGACGGUAUUUAACCAGAAAGUCACGGCUAACUACGUGCCAC